rnacentral:rRNA from 1 species
AACGAACGCUGGCGGCAUGCCUAACACAUGCAAGUCGAACGAACCCUUCGGGGUGAGUGGCGCACGGGUGCGUAACGCGUGGGAACCUGCCCUUAGGUUUGGAAUAACGUUUCGAAAGGAACGCUAAUACCAAAUAAUGUCUUCGGACCAAAGAUUUAUCGCCUUUGGAUGGGCCCGCGUAGGAUUAGCUAGUUGGUGGGGUAAAGGCUCACCAAGGCGACGAUCCUUAGCUGGUCUUAGAGGAUGAUCAGCCACACUGGGACUGAGACACGGCCCAGACUCCUACGGGAGGCAGCAGUGGGGAAUAUUGGACAAUGGGCGAAAGCCUGAUCCAGCAAUGCCGCGUGAGUGAUGAAGGCCUUAGGGUUGUAAAGCUCUUUUACCAGGGAUGAUAAUGACAGUACCUGGAGAAUAAGCUCCGGCUAACUCCG